UACGUAGGGUGCAAGCGUUAAUCGGAAUUACUGGGCGUAAAGCGUGCGCAGGCGGUGAUGUAAGACAGAUGUGAAAGCCCCGGGCUCAACCUGGGAAUGGCAUUUGGGACUGCAAGGCUUGAGUGCGGCAGAGGAGACUGGAAUUCCUGGUGUAGCAGUGAAAUGCGUAGAUAUCAGGAGGAACACCGGUGGCGAAGGCGGCAUCCUGGACCAACACUGACACUGAGGAGCGAAAGCCAGGGGAGCAAACGGG
rnacentral:rRNA from 1 species